ACAGUGGACGCGAGCAUCUUUGUUGUAAGUGUUUAAGAGCGUACGGUGGAUGCCUUGGCACCAGGAGCCGAUGAAGGACGUAGGAGGCUGCGAUAAGCCUCGGGGAGCUGUCAACCGAGCUGAGAUCCGAGGAUGUCCGAAUGGGGAAACCCAGCCACAGUGAUGUGUGGUUACCCGCGCCUGAAUAUAUAGGGCGUGUGGAGGGACGUGGGGAAGUGAAACAUCUCAGUACCCACAGGAAGAAAACAACAUGUGAUUCCGUGAGUAGUGGCGAGCGAAAGCGGAAGAGGCUAAACCAUGGGUGUGUGAUAGCCGGCGGGCGUUGCAUUCGUGGGGUUGUGGAUCCGUCUUGUCAAUUCUGCCGGAUUGGCCGACAGUGAGAAAUCAUCGUGUUAGUCGAAGUGGUCUGGAACGGCCUGUCGUAGAGGGUGAGAGUCCCGUAGACGAAAACAUGGUGACUGUCGUGACGGACACCCGAGUAGCAGCGGGCCCGUGAAAUCUGCUGUGAAUCUGUCGGGACCACCCGAUAAGCCUGAAUACUCCCUGGUGACCGAUAGCGGACUAGUACCGUGAGGGAAAGUGAAAAGUACCCCGGGAGGGGAGUGAAAUAGUACCUGAAACCGUGCGCUUACAAUCCGUCAGAGCCUGCGCCACUUUGGUGGGUGGGUGAUGGCGUGCCUUUUGAAGAAUGAGCCUGCGAGUUAGCGGCAUGUCGCGAGGUUAACCCGUGUGGGGUAGCCGUAGCGAAAGCGAGUCCGAAUAGGGCGUUUGUAGUGGCAUGUUCUAGACCCGAAGCGGAGUGAUCUACCCAUGGCCAGGGUGAAGCGACGGUAAGACGUCGUGGAGGCCCGAACCCACUUAGGUUGAAAACUGAGGGGAUGAGCUGUGGGUAGGGGUGAAAGGCCAAUCAAACUCCUGAUAGCUGGUUCUCCCCGAAAUGCAUUUAGGUGCAGCGUCGCGUGUUUCACUCUGGAGGUAGAGCUACUGGAUGGCCGAUGGCCCCACAAGUUACUGACGUCAGCCAAACUCCGAAUGCCAGAGUGUGAGAGCGCGGCAGUGAGACUGCGGGGGAUAAGCUUCGUAGUCGAGAGGAAACAGCCCAGAUCGCCGGCCGCUAAGGCCCCUAAGCGUGUACUAAGUGAAAAGGAUGUGGGGUCGCGAAGACAACCAGGAGGUUGGCUUAGAAGCAGCCACCCUUGAAAGAGUGCGUAAUAGCUCACUGGUCAAGUGAUCCUGCGCCGACAAUGUAGCGGGCUCAAGUACACCGCCGAAGCCGCGGCAUUCACAUAACCCCAUGCGGGUCUACGGGCCUGUGUGCAGUGGUGUGGAUGGGUAGGGGGGAGCGUCGUGCAGCCAUGGAAGCGCCGGAGUGAUCCAGGUGUGGAGGCUGCACGAGUGAGAAUGCAGGCAUGAGUAGCGAAAGACGAGUGAGAAACUCGUCCGCCGAAUGACCAAGGGUUCCUGGGCCAGGUUAAUCCGCCCAGGGUGAGUCGGGACCUAAGGCGAGGCCGACAGGCGUAGUCGAUGGACAACGGGUUGAUAUUCCCGUACCGUGUGAACGCGCCCCUGGUGAAUCAGUGAUGCUAAGCGCCCUGAAGCCGCCUUCGAACCUUCGGUUCUCCGGUGUGUGGAUGCGCGUGAACCGAUCUGGUAGUAGCCAAGCGAUGGGGUGACGCAGGAAGGUAGCUGAGCCAGUCAGUGGUAAUACUGGUGUAAGCGUGUAGGGCGUGACCUAGGCAAAUCCGGGUCACACACAGCCUGAGACGUGAUGCGUAGCCGAUUGAGGCGAAUUCAGUGAUCCUAUGCUGCCGAGAAAAGCCUCUAGCGAGCUUUCACACGGCCCGUACCACGGCCCGUACACCGACACAGGGUGGUCAGGUAGAGAAUACUAAGGCGAUCGAGAUAACUGUGGUUAAGGAACUCGGCAAAAUGCCCCCGUAACUUCGGGAGAAGGGGGGCCUCGUCUGGUGACGGAACUUGCUUCCUGAGCUGGGUGGGGCCGCAGAGCAGCCAGAGAGAAGCGACUGUUUACUAAAAACACAGGUCCGUGCGAAGUCGUAAGACGAUGUAUCGGACUGACGCCUGCCCGUGCCGGGUGCUGGAAGGUUAAGAGGACCGGUUAGCCAGUAAUGGCGAAGCUGAGAAUUUAAGCCCCCAGUAAAACGGCGGUGGUAACUAUAACCAUCCUAGGUAGCGAAAUUCCUUGUCGGGUAAGUUCCGACCUGCACGAAUGGCGUAACGACUUCUCUGCUGUCUCACCACAGACUCGGCCGGCUAAAUGGCAUUACGAGUAAGAUGCUCGUUACGCGCGGCAGGACGAAAAG
rnacentral:rRNA from 1 species